rnacentral:lncRNA from 1 species
GCUUUUCCUGCGAUUAAAACCAGCACCAUAUCACCAUAUCACAUCUUCUUUCCAUCCAUUUUCUUAAAUAAAAAAACCCUAGCUUGAAGAGGCAUCUUGCUGGCAACCCAUCGUGAAGGAGAUUGAGCGCCGGUAGCCGUACCCAUCGUGCAGGUGGAUGAUCGCUAGCAGCUGCAACCCUCUUGAAGGUGCUUGCCUAUUGGUGACACCACACCCCUCGUGAGUUUCUCAUCAAGAUUUUUUCCUGAUUUUUUAGUGAUUUCUUUGAUGAAUUCGGUAGGAGCGGAGGUGAAACGCCAUUGGAGAAAGGUUCCUUCAUCCAGCAAAUCCUCUUUCACACCCUUCAUUGGAGGGGAAAGGCUACUGGAUGAUGGGUUUUCAAUGUUUUUUUUUCCUUCUUUUAUUCUUGAUUUCAAUGCUUUGAUUUGGGUUUUGUAAAUUUUGAUGUUUUCUUUUCUUCUUCUAUUGUCAAUUUUUAUGCACGG